AGUGAACGCUGGCUGUAGGCCUAACACAUGCCAGUCGAACGGCAGCACAGUAAGAGCUUGCUCUUACGGGUGGCGAGUGGCGGACGGGUGAGUAAUACAUCGGAAUCUACUUUUUCGUGGGGGAUAACGUAGGGAAACUUACGCUAAUACCGCAUACGACCUACGGGUGAAAGCAGGGGAUCUUCGGACCUUGCGCGAUUGAAUGAGCCGAUGUCGGAUUAGCUAGUUGGCGGGGUAAAGGCCCACCAAGGCGACGAUCCGUAGCUGGUCUGAGAGGAUGAUCAGCCACACUGGAACUGAGACACGGUCCAGAAUCCUAAGGGAGGCAGCAGUGGGGAAUAUUGGACAAUGGGCGCAAGCGUGAUCCAGCCAUACCGCGUGGGUGAAGAAGGCCUUCGGGUUGUAAAGACCUAUUGUUGGGAAAGAAAAGCAGCAGGUUAAUACCCCGCUGUUCUGACGGUACCCAAAGAAUAAGCACCGGCUAACUUCGUG
rnacentral:rRNA from 1 species